UAGGAAAAAGAAAAGGAAAAAGAAAAAAAAGAAGCUCCAAACUCCAUAACUUCAGCUGACUUUGACUUUGGGGAUUGUCCAAGCAUGCAGUCCUGCCACUGCGAACCUACUGCUAUUGAAACUGAGAAACGACAUUUUUGUGUGACCUCUUGUGAACCCAGCUGUUUCUGUCUCUUCCCACUUUAGGGUUGAAUAUAGAUAGCACUAAGGGCUGCCUCUGCUUCCCUGUUUAGCACUGUGAGCACAAUGAUCUUUAUCUUCUACAGUGGAUCACCUCUGUGCAUCAAGCACUGCCUCAAUUUUACUUGUCUCCUUUCGGAUUUCACUUCCCUCUGGUGAUGACAUAAAGGCAGAAGACAGUCUGUUCCCUUAGUUUUCUUUAGUGGAAAUAUCUGCUUUAGUCUCUCAAAGUGAAGCAAUGACAUUUAUAAACAACACCAGGGGUUCAUGUCUGUCCAUCCUGAAACUUUCCUAAACGUAUUUUCCAGAAACUGCAUCCCACAACUCUCACAUGAGUUUAUUGUAGUCCAGGUUUAGAGAUGAAGAAACACUGGUGAUCAGAAUACUUCUGCCUUGGUUCAAAUGAGUCUAUAUGUUACAUUAAAUGAACUAUUAAAAAACAGGAACAGAAACUGACCUAUGUAUUUACACCACGAAUCAUGAAUCAGUUAAAUAUUUCUGGCAUAACAAAAAGGAACACAAUGAGAAUCUUUUUGUCCUAAGGGGAAAAGAACAUGUGCAUUGUAAUUGUUUUUAACAUUUUUUUGCCACCAUUCCUCUAUUUCUGGUUUUGAUUUGGAUGACCUUGCUUUGACAUUGUAUUUAUGUCAGACAUCACAGCCUACAGAAAGUAUUUCAUAUGUCUGAAGACUCUGGCAACUGUUCUCAUUAGAGAGACUGAACAUUUUGGUGUUGCUCACUUGCUAUUGGUCAGUAAAUUAGUGCCUCUCUGAGCUGUGGGAGAGAUGAUAUGUAUGUAUAGGGAUGAAAACAACACAUAAGCAAUGUAAUAGAUGAGCUACACAGUUGCUAAAAUGGUUGUCACAAUGUAUAAUGCAUUUGCUACUCCAAAAUGAAAGCUGGAUCACUCAUUCUUUGAAUGCCUCUUCUGAGGAGGAAUAGUUUUCUUGCUGAAAUAACUUCUAAGUGUUAAUAAGUGUCCUCUGUUUUUUCAGUGGAACACAAUAAUACAGAAUUGGCUGUUUUUCUCCAAGAUUUACACCUGGGAAAAAUGGAGAUAGAAUAUCAGUAAGAGCUGGGGCUCUCUGAAAAGGAGGCAAGGUAUCUGUCAGCAGGAAAAGAACUUUGUGCUGUGGUAUAUGGUGUAUGUAUUCUCAUAGAAAACUGGACACCUUCCUCAAGGAGAGUGGAAGGAGGGCCCUCGUUACUAAAGAGAGCCCGGAAAACACCAUUGUCUUGCUCUUCUGUUCUGUUGGAUAUAAGGAACUAAGAUUCACUUCAGUGUGGCCCCUGAGAAAAUUUGUUCUUUCAUCUUGGUGUGAAUUACUGAGAUAAUGUAUUUCUGAAUAGAAAUGGUCACUCAGGAAUGCAAAUUCCAGGGUUUAAGUGUACACAUAUGCAAUUAGGACAAAACUGCAGGCUUUUAUGUCAAAAUAUUAGUGAACAGACAAAACAAGAAACAUCAAAGAACUGUUAAAGUCAACAAAGAAAUCCUAAGUGUUGGUCUUGUCCUCUUCUGUUUGAUACAGCUUUGGAAAACAGCAAAUAAACUACAGAAGGAGAAAGGUGCUGUGGCCUUGGGAGGCCAGCUGGAUCUGAGCAGUGGUGGAAACGCCAAACUUGGUCCUGAAAAAGAAGUUGUUAGGAAUAGCCCUGGUGACUGCAAACCUCCGGCAUGAACUGAUCAAAGUAAUGAGCCUUGGUCUGUUAAAAUCAGGAGGGAUGAUUCUGUUCCCAUCAGCAGGAAAGUAUUAUGGAAGCCUGGCAGCAUCUACCUUUCUGGGUGACAGACAGCAGAAACAUGAAGAAAAGGGAACAUCUGAAGUGAACAUCCUGAAAUGGGGCAAACAAUAGAUCGUCCCAAAUGACACCACAGGCAGCCAAAGCUAUCCAGCUCAGCCAGCUGCCAAAGGAGCAGACCCCGUGAUGUCUGGGAUGUAAAUGCAGCCGUGACUUGAGACUGGGACAAGAGGUGCUAUCAAGACAGCAUUCAUCAGUGGCUGAGAAGGGAGGCCUGAAUCACUAGCCAGUUUGCUGCAUCAACACACUUGCCCAGUCCCACUGCCACAAGUUUUCUUUCCACCCAUCCUCGUGGAGAUGCUACAAGGGUUUAGUGGUCUGUCUGGCUACAAGAGCUUGGAGUCAAACGUCUACUCAGCAUGCAGUUCUUCAAGACACAAGACCAUAUCUCAUCCAAAGAAAAGUGCUGUCUUCCAGAGAUUACACUCAAACCCAAUGAAAUCUGCAUGCUUACAAAAGUACCGCAGAACUGAAUAAUACACCAAUGCGCUUCCAAAGUCUUUCUGGCAAUGGCUUUUUAAACAUUAAAGGUGCCAUCUGAGAAUCUCCAAUAGCAGCGGUGGAUGCACGUGGUUAAUGAAAUGCUCUUUUGGAACUCUUAUCAUCAAGUUCAAACCUGGUGUGGUAGGUGUGAAGCUAUAAGGUAGGAGCCUAUGAAUCCAGACCAGUCAUUGGAAUACCAUAUGGAGCCUGGCAAUGAUAUUACACAAAUGUCCAUGAAGACUUAUCUCAGCAAAGCCCCUCAGGAGACCAGCAUGUUGGUGAAGCAUUGACACAGGCUGCCCCGAUGGUGGUCCCUGGAGGUGUUCAAGAGCCAUGGAGAUGUGAUUUGCCAUCCAGUGUUCUGGGCCAGCAUUAAGACAGACAUGGUACUGAGGAUGACCAAAGACUGACUAUGCCAAAAAGAAAGGAUGCUGAUGGAAGUUUGUUCCAAACAGCAGCUGAAGAAAGAAGUGGAGACACAUCUGAGCAAAAAUCAAGGAUGGGAAAGUUCAGAGAAUGCCAUGAUGACAGAAGUCCCUUGUAAAAUGAGAGCAGGAGAAACUGCAAACAGAAACAAGUCCAUUGUCAGCCUGGAGCCACCACUCCCCCUUCCAGAGGAGUCUACUUUAGCUCUGAAGCUGGAAAUAAAACAGCUCCAUGAAGGCCUGGAUUCUGGAUCACAGCCUGUAGCUCCACAGUCACACCUGCCCGUGGGAAUUUUAACACAGUGUUCCCCAGGUGCUGCAAUUGGGUCAUCAGCUCCACCAUGGGGCUCAGGAACAGGCAUGGCUCUGUGGGAGCUGGCAGCAGACACCACCCAGGGCACAGGAAUGGAAUGUUAUUUAUCAUCUCCAGGCAGACUCUGGAGCAGGAGCAGUUCUGUAUUAUGGCUUUUCUGCAGCACAGUUCCCUGUGGCCAGAAGCAAGGACAGGACUGCCAACAUUACCAUGGAAACCCCCAAAAAUAAAGACUUUCCCAGCCUUGUGAGAGCGCACCUGCAAGGGCAAGAAUGGCCGUCAGCCUUUGGCCCAUCAAAAGCGAAUCUCCUUCAUUCUUGGUGUCACCUAAGGACAUUUUUCUACCAUCGGUAUGAUUUCUUAUCUCAAAACUUACUGAAAGUACAUACUUAGAAUGUAUACCAUUUGAAAUCUUGCCAUGGACCAGUAGCGAGCAUCUGUUGCUAUCCAAUAGCUCUCUUCUUAAUAUAUGACCUUAGCAGAUUUAAGCAUGAUCAAAGUCAAGAAUAUUUGCAGUCAGUAGGAUUUCUGUACAUCACAACGUGAACAUUCUGCUAACAAAUGCUGAUUCAUGUGUUGUAUGUUCCUAUUGCUUCAGUUUUUGCUCUCGGCUAAGUAGAUGAAUGACUAUUUAGUGUUGCUACGUAGCUGUCAGAUUGUCAGACAGCAGUUGUGUGUUGGCAUUAGGUGGGCAGCAUUCCUACACAGGCAUCUGUGCUAAAAUGACCACUAAGAAUUUAGUCGUAUGUGUUCACAGAUACUCUUUAAGGUGGAUUGGUGUUGCAGACAGGAGUAAGAGUUGAAUGCUCCCAUGAAGGUGGGUGGGAGUCCUGAUGGAAAUCAAAUGAAACUGGAAUAACCUUACCAGUGUUAUUAGGUGGCAAAUCGCAUGGAAACUGCAAAUAGAUGAAAUGCAUGGGAGUUAUUAUUCAGGGUCACUUUUGGGGGGAAUGAAGUAGAGAAAUGAAAUUAAUUGUAGAGGAAGUUGUAAACUGGCAUAGAUUUCAGCUUUGUCAUCAUAAAAUUAUUCGUGAUACUUUGGCUGGAUGCUCUGCAUGAGCUGCCAUUUCUUCCUCCUAAUGUUAAAAUCACCUCUUUUGUUUGUUCAUGCUUUCUGGAAGUGAUGAGAUUGAAACAGCAUUAUACCACUUCAACUCAAUAGGGAAUGAUUGCAACUGAAAAGCAUUUAUUUAUUUGGUGUGAAUCAUUCUGCAUUGCAUUUCAGUUCCAUUCCGAAGGGGAGCUUUGUUUGUCUUUUCAAGGAUUACUUAAACAUAAGAGGAAAGGAGAACCAGUCCCUGGCACAUUUAUUUUGCUAAUACUGCUGACACAUACCUCACUUCAUAGUGCUGACGUCUUACUAAAGGACAUCCAGGAUAGUUUCUGUGUUUAUUGUUACUGCGCCAAGUCUUUGCCAUUGCUUAUCAGGAUGUUUGUCAGAGAGAAUAAGAAAUAAUAGUGAGAUACUAACAUUAAAGAGAAGGCUACAUAUAAAGAUGGUGGGGUUUGCUGCCAAUGUUUAUGGGUUCUACCUUGCUAGGUGAGCUAGAUGUUAGAUAGCUUGCUCUAAAAAAAUAAGCUGAUGUUCUUUGGAGGAAGUUGCCUCUUGAAGAGGACUGAUGUGUUGUGAAGAGGAUAACAAUAUUAUGGCAAAAUUCAAGCUAGAGACAAGAAUAGGCCUUAUUCCUCUUAGUUUAAUCUAGUUAAGUUUUUCAGACCACUUGAGAGAUAAGAGUGCUUAGCAUAUGUAGUGUGAAACUCCCUUCCAUAUUACAGCAGGCAUGUUCUGCUGGGGAAAGUUAUGUUGCAAGGUGAGCUACAUGAGUCUGUACAUAAACUCUCAGAGGCUCCUUAAUUGCUGACACACACGUGUCCAUACUGACAGCAUCUCAGCCCAGCCACAUGGAGUACAGAUCUGCAGUGUUCAAAACCAGUCUGUUUUAACAUCUUGAUGCGGCAUUUGUGCACAGGGCUGCAUCAAACCUGUGGCCUUGUCCAUGGCUGGUUCUUUCUGAGACCUGCAGGAACUCAGUGGCUCUCAUGUCAGGAGCCCUUCUCUAGUCCCUACCUGAGUUGGUGGGUGGGUGAGAUUCUAAUCAGACAAAUGGAUGGAUUACUGAUAAGUUGUAUUAUUUGGCCAUGUGGCCUUAAGGCUGCUGCCAGGCUCAUUCUUCAGCUUGAUGACCAUAAUGAUUUUGGCAACAAUUGUAGCUGCUCCCAUCCAUUCUUCCAAUAAUUUCCAUUGCCCUUGCCAAUUAUUUUGGGGAUCUUAGCCUUUCCUUUCACAGCGAUGUGUUUUUAUGUUUCACCAUCUCUGAAUGGUGAUUUAUGUAAGUAAGUCCCUUUGUGGGUGCUGUCCUGGGAGCAAGUUUUAAACAGAGCUUACGCUUUUGAACCAGCUAGUGACAAAAUGAUUCAGACAAUGCUGCCGUAAAUAACCUUUCUGCAGUCAAAGAAUGAAAAAGAGAAAAGCCUCAGCUCUCCAUUUUGCUGGACAGGGCACACAACGAAGCAUACAGUCAGACAGAAAAAAAAACCCACACUUAUAGGAGAGUUGUCAGUAGCGGAUUCCAGCUGUUCCUUUGGAUAUAGCACACAGAGGGACUCCCUGCACAGAACUGGUUUCAGCUGCAUUUUAUUCUAUGGUUUUGUCUAUUUUUAGUAUUUUGUCAGCCCCAUCAGGCUGAAACAGGCAUCUUCAUGUGUAUUUUAAGCUGAAAGGAAAGUCAGUGAACAAUACUGAGCCCAUACAGAAACAAAACUGGUAUUAUAGGACAUGAAACUCCUUGCUCUGAAGCACUGUUAAGGCUUAUUCUAUUAAGUCCAUACAGGAUAUCCAGCUCACAUCUUAGCCUACUGGGGGAAAAAAAAAGAGUUCCCAAACGUGCUUGAAAUACUAAACUACUCCCAGGAGGGAAAACCUAAACAAACAAAACCCCCCUCACCGAACACAUCCAAUCCUUCCCUAAUUCAAACAACCACUAACACCGUUAUCACCUUCUGCCAGCAACUCUCUUUUGUUGAUCGAAGGAAGGCUUAUGCUGCUUCCAUAAGUUUUUGCCACCUCUGUACAUUACAUGCUGUGGAUACUCAGCCUGUUCCUGGGUGCUGUUGAGUCUUAGAGGUGCUGACACAUAGAAAAGGAUUCUGUAUCAAAAUGAUUCUGCCUUAAGACUGUAUGGUGACAGGUCAUUACGUCACUGCCAGUCACUCGUGCCAUCCUUUACAUAACAGGCCAAACAGCACAGCGAUUUUAGCAGAAUGCAUUCAGAAUGAGGCUGCCUUAUUAUUAACAUAUACUGGUGUAUGUACGUAUUACAAUAAAGCAGAUGGAGUAUCUCUCAUUACCAUCUGCAACUCAUGAAAUUAGGGUCUGCUAGUCUUAGAAUUCUGAUACAAGAGGUUAUAUUAGUAAUCAAAGCUGUACUUGGAGAAAAUCAUCAGUUACUACCAGAAAUAAAAGCAUUUCAGAUGUCAUUUCCUUGAAUAUGUGCUUAAUAGUUUCAAGUCUUUGAAAGCAUGUUCCAGCUACUCCCCAUCACACAGCUGCACCGACUCCAUGCUCUUUGGAUGCAGUUCAAAUCUUGUUUUCUGUAUGACAAGAUCUUUUGUCCACACUGUAGUUGAGCAACAAGAUGCAUGCGAAUAACCAGACAAUGAAAAUACCUUAGCAAACAGGCAGGGUUCUGGAUCCUAAAGCCUUAAAGACUGGCGAAUCCUUCAACACAAACAGGCACAUAGCUGUAGUACUGGACACACAGUUAAAAUGUGCCUGAGAUGGCCACUCCCAGAAGCAGGUUCUGGAUCCAACUUCUCCUGCUCAGGUUGCCAAUGCAGAUUGUCCAAUAGUGCCGGGUCUCCUUGCAUCACCCCACAUCAGGCUCUGUCUCAAAGGCUGCAGGACAUCUCGGCUGCCUGGCUUCAAGCAUGUGGUCUCAGCACAGGGGCAGCUGGAACACAGGGACGUGAUGGGGCCAGGUAAUGCUCAGAGCCUGCAGGCAUUGCAGUGUUAGGGAUUAGAUGCUCAGAGCAAAGUUGAAUAUUCUCCGAGUACGUCAGUUUGUUCAUCAGCCCAAAGUUUGCUCCAGGGUUCUGAUGGGAAAUUUAAUUCAAAGCAGUUGUGAAGUUUUCUUUUUCUGUAGGACAUACUCAUCUCACCAAGCUUCCCUAUCCACUGGAUCAAGGAAACUGCAUAAAAUUACACAUAGGUAUGCACAGUUUCAUAGCAAAUGCAAAUACAUACUUUAAAUGUGAUGUAAAUACAGUGGAUUGCAUUCAAGCAUGCUGGAGGUCUACUUAAAGACCAGCAUUUGCUUUUCUGAAAUGCAUAUGUAAUUCAUAAUCGCCUGCAAACUCCUAUAAGCUCUUCAUGCUUCAAGGCUGAGAGACUUGUAUGUGAUAUACAUCACGAUCCCCAAAGAACAAUGGCAAAAGAAAACAGGAAAAAUCACUCCCUAUUGAGGGUUUCUCUGAGGCUUCAAGGACAGCUUCCAAUUAAAGCCCUACAGAAGGGCUGAUCUGUGGAACGUGACAGAGGCUUGGUAUUAUCACGGCGUACGUCAGUCUGAUGAGGUGCCUACAGCACUGCCCUACCAUUACAAACAUGUAACACCUCCGAAUGUAGUAGUUCAUCUGCCUUGAGAAUUAAGUUUGUCUUUUGCAGUGCAGCACGGUCUUCUAGACAGAAGGAGAAAGAGGGGAAAAAAAAGAAAAGCAUUUAUCAUUCCUUUGCCAGGCAGUUUGGUUUGAAAGAAACCAGAUGAGUCGCGCAUCAUUCAUCUGAGGAACAAAUCUACUCCACAGAUUUGUCUGAGAGACAAGUGAACGCAAUCCAAAAAAGCUAUCCGUUUCAGAAUGGGAGGCUUGAAUUCCAUCCAACAGCAAAAUGCAUGCUGAGUAGCAUCCAUUUAUUCAGGACAGUAAUGGCUUCUUUUAGAAGCACAUCGCCUUCAUCGUUUGUGUUCAACAUGGCAUAUAUACCAACAAAAAUUCCCAUCUCUGUGAAUGCAGGCUAUCUGCCAGCUCUACAAAGGGAUUUUUUUUCUUUUUUAAACAGCUACUGAGCUGGGGCUGUUGCCUGCAGAGCAGAUUUUAUAUGUUCAGUCUUCUGUGAUCAUCAGGUCUGAGUGCACAGUAACUGGAAUUCGUGAGCCUUUCCAAGUCACCUCCUGAGUAAAGCCCUGAAUGGGCAGUCCCAGAAGUGAAGUGAGGAACAACUUCUCUUCCCGCCCCUUUGGGCAGCUCACAUACGUGCUUUCAGCAAUACCUGAAACGAGAAUAACACCUACAUCCACUUCACUGGGACUGACAGGAACAGAAAGGAAACGAGAAACUGAUGAAGUGCUGAGCCAGAUUCACUUGCCGAAAAACUCUGUUUUCUUCCCUAAUGUUUUUGUGGGUUUUUUUUAAACACUUCUUCAUUUUUGCUUGUAUUCCGUUAAGGAAAAAAAAAAAGAAAGAAAAAAACUUGGCCCACAAGUUCUCAGUGCCUACACAGAUGAAAGCUGAGAGAGGCCUUAAAUGACUUCAACAGGAAACUACUGGGAAGGGGAGUGGUCUGUUUUCUGACAGUCCCAUUACACAUUUCUAGGAAAAAUCUUUUCAAGUUCUGUGUACGAAAACGAAACAGGAUUACAGCACUGCCUCCCUUGGAGACAAUCUCAACAACACUUUUCCUGCUCCCAUGCCGGACUGCUGCAAAGUAAUUCCCUUUUUCCUCCCUCCUUUUCUCCAUCUAUCUCAGGAUGUCAGGCUUAGGUUGAACGAGAUUUCAGACUCAACACACUCAAUGUCUGCUCACGGUUUCUUCCAGGUAAUGUUCAAGAAUACUUCGUUCUGCAAUUGCAUUCCCAAAUCCAUCCCAUUACCCGAGCCCCACAAACUGUUUAGUGAGCUCAGGAGUUUUCCACUUAGUAGCGAUGACAAAGCACUGGACUACUGCGAAACCCAUGACAGAGAAGCUGAGCAAUAGCACACACCAGCCAAAUAGAUCACUGAGGUGGAAGGUCAUCCUUGAACUCUAUUUCCAUUUUUCCUCUCUUGGUAAAUUGCUCUGGGAACAAUCCUCUUUUCUAGCAUAAUGUAAUCAAGAAUUAGAAAGUCACCACCGCUUACACAGCACAGCAAUUCCUGGCCUGACUGACUGUGCUGGGAAUUUCAGCUGAUGUCUCCACCCAAGCAGCAUGUGGAACCAAUGUAAUGGCUAACACAAUUCAGAGCUUAAAAUGGAGUGAUGCUGCAGUUCCAGCUGGUCUUGUAACUCAGUAAGAGAGAUUUUUGGAAGCAUUAUAGGAGAAAUAGAAAUAACAGAGGUGAGGAAUAGCUCCUAGUCUGAUGAUGCAAGAUAAAAGCAAAGUAGACAGCAUUACACAGCACCAUGCUCAGAACCAAGGCAGCAUGGGAAAGAAAUGCAUUAUUUUUAUCUCUGAUUCUAGAACGCCCACAGCCUUUUAUAUAUGGAAAGGUGAUGAUAUGUAAGAGCCUAGGGGUAAAAAAAAAAAGGUUUCAUUCUGCUGAAGGAAUAGAUUUGCUGCAUGAGCUAGACAAGGCCCUUAACAGGUACUGAGACUCACAGUACACUGCUCUGCAAAUCCCCUUAUGGCCUGAGAGCUGCAUCUCCCUCUGCAUCAGCUAAAUCCAAGCUAACUCUAGAAAGGCCUUCUCCUUCCUUGAGAACUGACUUAUACUUUUUGACCAAACAAAUAUCUACAGGAUUCCUUAGUCUCAACAUGCAGAGACUCCGAAUCGCUGACAAGGCACGAUGAAAAGGAUUAAUCUUACCCUCAAAUAUACCCCUGUGUAGGUUCCUGCCUCUAAGCAGUUCUCAUUUGGCUGCUAAUUCUGUCAUUCCAUAAGUAGUUACUAUUUAAGCGUAUUUUGCUGCGUAAUUUGCUGCCUAUCCAUUGCCCCUGCUUUGUGAUUAACUGUCUUCCCAACAGCACCUGCUGCUCUUUGAAGGCAAGAAAUACCGUCUUGUAGAGAAGUCAAGCCACAGUCUUCAGAUGG